rnacentral:misc_RNA from 1 species
GUGAAUCAUCAAAUUUUUGAACGCAAAUUGCACUCUCUGGUAUUCCGGAGAGUAUGCCUGUUUGAGGGUCAGUUUAAAUAAAAAUCGGUUUGUUUCCUGCCUUUCUUGUUGACCCCCCGGUUUGGGUUGGUCUGGCCUUCGGUUAGUUGACCUAAAAUUUUGCAUGAUUUUUUUCACGUGUUUUAAAAUGUUUUUGCAUGCUUUUGA